GGGAGGCUAAUAUGUCAAUCAUCUGUUGAUACCAGUAUCCAGACCACAAGAUAAAUAUUGUAGUCUUAUCUCAUUGUUUUGCAACAAAAAUAUUUAUUUAACAUUGAAGUGAACAAAGAAAAAGAAAAAUACUAAAGGGAAAAAAUCUACCAGAAAAAUGAAAAAGAAAUACUAUGGAAAAGAGUGGAAAAGUAUUUUUUAAAGCCUCUGACUGCCUGUAAAAAUUUCUUUUCUUUUGUCUUCUUCAUUUAAAUACAGUUUAAUGCUUUUUAAGGUGGUACCUAACACUACAGGGAGAUAACUCUGUAAAAUCAGCUAAACGUUUUAAUUACAUUAUGUUGUUAAGGGAACAUUAAGCUUCUCAAUGAUCAAAACUACUGUUUGUCAAACUGCUGUAAUUUUUCUAACAAAACGGUUGGUUCAAAAUUUUUGAUUUUUUUAUAUUUUUGUUAAAGGGUAAAAGUAAAUACUUUCACAAAAUUUUAUGAAAAUUAAACGAGCCAAAUUAAUUUUAGUGAAAGUGUUGGGUACCACCUUAACUAGUUUUUCAGUUUAUGUGUAAUUUUUCAGUUCCAUUAAAUAAAAAAAUCAUGUGGGAAAGUGUAUUUUCAAGAAAAGGGUGGUCUUGAUCUUUUUAUGAUGCACACUUUUGAUGUUCUAGCUAAUUUCAAGGGGUUCUAAGGGGGAAAUUCAGUUUUUAGGUCAUUUCUCAGAACAAUUUUUCAUGAGAAUUGUAAGGAAAAAAUGAAAAUAAAACCUUUAUGGGUACCUCCUUUGGCUUGACCUUGAAAUAUAUGAUUAAAAGGUGUAUUUUCUACAAUACAGUGUCCUAGUUUUUGGUAAAUUUGUUUCUAAAUGAAUUUAUAGGUCUCCAAAGAUGAAAGGUGAAAUGAGGUUUAGCACCCAGCAGUUAAAUCAAUAUAUCUUCUUACUGGAGGCAUAUAUCAAAAAUCUGAGACAUGGUUUUGGAGAUUAUACAUGGUUGAUUAAAGGGAUGAAAACAAAUUUUUAAUACCAUUUGACAUGAAUGUGCCAUUUUCAUCCAAGUUUGAAAACCUCUUUUUU
rnacentral:lncRNA from 1 species